AGUGGCGGACGGGUGAGUAACACGUAAGAAUUUGCCUUUAGGAGGGGGAUAACAACUGGAAACGGUUGCUAAUACCCCAUACGCUUUCGAGUGAAAUGGAUUUCCGCCUAAAGAGAAGCUUGCGGCUGAUUAGCUUGUUGGUAGGGUAAUGGCCUACCAAGGCGACGAUCAGUAUCUGGUUUGAGAGGACGAUCAGACACACUGGAACUGAGACACGGUCCAGACUCCUGCGGGAGGCAGCAGUAGGGAAUUUUCCGCAAUGAGCGAAAGCCUGACGGAGCAAUACCGCGUGAGGGAUGACUGCCUAUGGGUUGUAAACCUCUUUUUUCAGGGAGGAACAAAAUGACGUGUACCUGAAGAAUAAGCAUCGGCUAACUCCGUGCCAGCAGCCGCGGUAAGACGGAGGAUGCAAGUGUUAUCCGGAAUUACUGGGCGUAAAGCGUCUGUAGGUGGCUCGAUAAGUCAACUGUUAAAUCUUGAAGCUCAACUUCAAAAUCGCAGUCGAAACUAUCGGACUAGAGUAUAGUAGAGGUAAAGGGAAUUUCCAGUGGAGCGGUGAAAUGCGUAGAUAUUGGAAAGAACACCGAUGGCGAAAGCACUUUACUGGGCUAUUACUGACACUCAGAGACGAAAGCUAGGGUAGCAAAUGGGAUUAGAUACCCCAGUAGUCCUAGCCGUAAACAAUGGAUACUAGGUGUUG
rnacentral:rRNA from 1 species